rnacentral:rRNA from 1 species
UACAGAGGGUGCGAGCGUUGUUCGGAAUUAUUGGGCGUAAAGGGCGCGUAGGCGGCUGUACAAGUCAAAGGUGAAAUCCCUCGGCUCAACUGAGGAACUGCCUUUGAAACUGUACGGCUUGAGGCCGGGAGGGGGUAGCGGAAUUCCCAGUGUAGCGGUGAAAUGCGUAGAUACUGGGAGGAACACCAGUGGCGAAGGCGGGUCUCUGGGCCGAUACUGACGCUGAGGAGCGAAAGCGUGGGGAGCGAACAGG